rnacentral:rRNA from 1 species
CCUACGGGUGGCAGCAGUGAGGAAUAUUGGUCAAUGGGCGCGAGCCUGAACCAGCCAAGUCGCGUGAGGGAGGACGGCCCUACGGGUUGUAAACCUCUUUUGCCGGGGAGCAACGGGCGUCACGUGUGGCGCCACUGAGAGUACCCGGAGAAAAAGCAGCGGCUAACUCCGUGCCAGCAGCCGCGGUAAUACGGAGGAUGCGAGCGUUAUCCGGAUUUAUUGGGUUUAAGGGGUGCGUAGGCGGAUCGUAAAGUCAGUGGGAAAAUUGAGGGGUGAAACCCCUUCCCGCCAUUGAAACUGGCGCUCUUGAGUGGAAGAGAGGUAUGCGGAAUGCGUGGUGUAGCGGUGAAAUGCAUAGAUAUCACGCAGAACCCCGAUUGCGAAGGCAGCAUGCCGGCUUCCGACUGACGCUGAAGCACGAAAGCGUGGGGAUCGAACAGGAUUAGAUACCCCUGUAGUC